UACGUAGGGGGCGAGCGUUACCCGGAUUUACUGGGCGUAAAGCGCGUGUAGGCGGCUGGCCAAGCGUGGUGUGAAAUCUUCGGGCUUAACCCGAAAACUGCAUUGCGAACUGGUCUGGCUAGAGUGUGUGAGAGGGUAGUGGAAUUCCCGGUGUAGCGGUGAAAUGCGUAGAUAUCAAGCGGAACACCGGUGGCGAAGGCGGCCUUCUGGACAGUGACUGACGCUGAGACGCGAAAGCGUGGGGAGCAAACAGG
rnacentral:rRNA from 1 species